rnacentral:lncRNA from 1 species
UGGUAGUUAUUCCUUUUAUUUUUUUUUUUAGAAAGGAAAUGGGGAAGAAUUUAUAUAAUAGUAUACUAUUGAACAAACAAACAAGGAAAUAUAAUCAGUCAAACAUACAUAAGGAAAGAGAACAGGCAAGAAUUAAUUCAGAAUUAAUUUAGGAGAAAUCAGGUAACCCUAGUUCCAGAUGGAGAACAAAAUAGUUGAAGAAUUUCACUAAUUCGGGCCCAUAUAACCUUACUAUGAUGCAUAUAGAUGAAAACCCGUCCAAAUCAUGAAGAUCAUGAGAUGAUUGUGCUUGGUUCAAGACCUGGUACUUGCCAGUGAUAGGCUAUAUAUUAUGUAAUACCAAUAUCGUGUAUAUAAUGGAGAGAUCGAGCAUAUAUGAAAGGAGAAUCACAGACACAUUUCAUACUAGAGUCGGAGUUGGGGAGAAUAAAGAAAGCGCUUCUAGGGUUUGAGAGGAUAAGAAAAUGACAGGGAGUGUUUGGGGGCGUCA